GAGUGAUUAUGAAACAUUACAACUAAUAUUUAUGGUAACAAAUUUAAAAGUUCAUAAAUAUGUCCUGUAAGGAUUCCUAUUUGUAACUUUUCCAUAAUCAGUAGUACUGUGAGGCUUUUAUGUUCAUCUAUUCUGAGCUCCACUAAUCAAAAAACUUUGCUCCGAGCUCUGGACAAGCAGAUGUUCGAAAAAUCAAAAUAAACUGUCAUGGUGCCUCUGUCAGUCUCCUCCCCCUCCCCUCUCCGCUUGGCUGCGGAUCCUUCUCAGCUGCGACCACUCACCUCAUCACCAUGCCGGCCUACUUAAGGAGCUCCAGGACCUUCAUUCCCCGCCAGUCCGUUGCCCCUGAUGGAAUUCCUCCCCACGAGUGGUCGUCAGUCUCAGCUUCAUCCUGGAUCCCCAGUUUGGUCUUCGCCUGCGGUCACACCACGAGCCUCUGCCUCGGACCUCAACCCACGCUCUUCCUCCCAUCUCUCCAUUAAAUCUUUUUACCUGC